rnacentral:tRNA from 1 species
GGGGGCGUAGCUCAGUUGGUUAGAGCGACUGCCUGUCACGCAGUAGGUCACCGGUUCGAGUCCGGCCGUCCCCGCUA